CCUACGGGUGACUGCAGUGGGGAAUAUUGGACAAUGGGGGCAACCCUGAUCCAGCCAUGCCGCGUGUGUGAAGAAGGCCCUCGGGUUGUAAAGCACUUUCAGUGAGGAAGAACGCCUGGUGGUUAAUACCCAUCAGGAAAGACAUCACUCACAGAAGAAGCACCGGCUAACUCCGUGCCAGCAGCCGCGGUAAUACGGAGGGUGCGAGCGUUAAUCGGAAUUACUGGGCGUAAAGCGCGCGUAGGUGGCUUGAUAAGCCGGUUGUGAAAGCCCCGGGCUCAACCUGGGAACGGCAUCCGGAACUGUCAAGCUAGAGUGCAGGAGAGGAAGGUAGAAUUCCCGGUGUAGCGGUGAAAUGCGUAGAGAUCGGGAGGAAUACCAGUGGCGAAGGCGGCCUUCUGGACUGACACUGACACUGAGGUGCGAAAGCGUGGGUAGCAAACAGGAUUAGAUACCCUGGUAGUC
rnacentral:rRNA from 1 species